GGGCAGAGAGGCAGUAAGGGCAACAGCAGCCAAUGGGGAAGGAGUGCCUCUGAGAGCUCCACAGAGAAACUGGGUGAGUGGUCCAAAGGCAGGAACUAUGGAAGCCAUGGAGAGAUGGCAGCUGCACCAGAGGCAAGGACUGUAGCCAACGGUGGGGAGCUGAAGCAUGAACCCUGUGAAUGCAGAAUCCAAGAUGGGGACAUCAGAGAUGAAGCAAAGAGCUUGGGGAUUGAGUCAUAGAAUCAGAGACAUAUAGCGCUUUAUGGAACCUCAGGAGGUCAUCUACUCUCAUCAUCUGCUCAAGAUGGGAUAAUCUCUAUCUAAACCAUCCCAGACAAAGACUAAUUUCUACACUGCCUGAAUUGUACUUAAUUCUAUUCUUCAAAUCAAUAAUGAAGAUAUUGAACAGCACCACAGCCAAGACAGAGCCUGGGGAGUUCCACUUAAUAUAGCUUCCCAAUUUGACAUUGACCUGUUGACUGCUUUUUGAGCAUGAUUAUCCAACCAGUUAUACUUCAUCUUACAGUAGUUUCAUGAGGACCAUAUUGUUUUAGGUUAGUUUUAAGAUGGCAGACUGUGUCAAAAGUUUUACUAAACUUGGGUAUAUUAUAUCUACUUCUCCUCCCAUCCAUAAGACCCAUCACCUUAUCUCAGAAUAAAAUCAUCUUUAUUGGGUAUGAUUUG